rnacentral:rRNA from 1 species
GACGAACGCUGGCGGCGUGCUUAACACAUGCAAGUCGAACGGAAAGGCCCUGCUUUUGUGGGGUGCUCGAGUGGCGAACGGGUGAGUAACACGUGAGUAACCUGCCCUUGACUUUGGGAUAACUUCAGGAAACUGGGGCUAAUACCGGAUAGGAGCUCCUGCUGCAUGGUGGGGGUUGGAAAGUUUCGGCGGUUGGGGAUGGACUCGCGGCUUAUCAGCUUGUUGGUGGGGUAGUGGCUUACCAAGGCUUUGACGGGUAGCCGGCCUGAGAGGGUGACCGGCCACAAGGGGACUGAGAUACGGCCCAGACUCCUACGGGAGGCAGCAGGGGGGAAUAUUGCACAAUGGGCGGAAGCCUGAUGCAGCAACGCCGCGUGCGGGAUGACGGCCUUCGGGUGGUAAACCGCUUUCGCCUGUGACGAAGCGUGAGUGACGGUAAUGGGUAAAGAAGCACCGGCUAACUACGUG